rnacentral:tRNA from 1 species
GAGGGUAUAGCUCAGUGGCACAGUGCGUGCUUAACACGCAUGUGGUCCUGUGUUCAAUCCCCAGUACCUCCA